GCAGUCGUGGCCGAGUGGUUAAGGCAAUGGACAAGAAAUCCAUUGGGGUCUCCCCGCACAGGUUCGAAUCCUGUCAACUGCG
rnacentral:tRNA from 2 species